rnacentral:lncRNA from 1 species
AAAGGAACUACAUACCGCAAAUUCGUGAAGAGAAGUGAGAAGUGAUUAUGAGAUUGUGAGAAGUGAAGAAUCGAUUAUGAGAUGUGAUUCUGAGAUGAAGUGAAUAAUCGAUUGUGAGAAGUGAUUCUGUGAGAAGUGAGAAGUGAUUAUGAGAUGAGAUUGUGAGAAGUGAAGAAUGAUUGUGAGAAGUGAUUAUGAGAGAAGCGAUUAUGAGAUUAUGUGAUUUUGAGAAGUGAUUUGGUGUGAGUGGGUAAGAAGCG